rnacentral:rRNA from 1 species
UCGGUGCCGCAGCUAACGCAUUAAGUAUUCCGCCUGGGGAGUACGGUCGCAAGACUGAAACUCAAAGGAAUUGACGGGGACCCGCACAAGCAGCGGAGCAUGUGGUUUAAUUCGAAGCAACGCGAAGAACCUUACCAAAUCUUGACAUCCUUUUGACCAUCAUUUAAUCAUGAUCUUACUUCGGGUACAGAAGUGACAGGUGGUGCAUGGUUGUCGUCAGCUCGUGUCGUGAGAUGUUGGGUUAAGUCCCGCAACGAGCGCAACCCUCGUCUUUAGUUGCCAUCAGAUAAUGCUGGGCCCUCUAGAGAGACUGCCGGUGACAAACCGGAGGAAGGUGGGGAUGACGUCAAAUCAUCAUGCCCCUUAUGAUUUGGGCUACACACGUGCUACAAUGGUCGGUACAACGGGCAGCGAAAGGGUAACCUGGAGCGAAUCCUAUAAAGCCGAUCCCAGUUCGGAUUGUGGGCUGCAACUCGCCCACAUGAAGUUGGAGUUGCUAGUAAUCGUGAAUCAGAAUGUCGCGGUGAAUGCGUUCCCGGGUCUUGUACACACCGCCCGUCACACCAUGGAAGUUGGGGGCGCCCGAAGCCAGUGAUCCAA